CCCUUAGAUGUUCUGGGCUGCACGCGCGCUACACUGAAGCUAUCAACACGUUUUCCCUCCCUGAGAAGGGCGGGUAACCUUUUGAAUCAGCUUCGUGGUAGGGAUCGGGGCUUGCAAUUGUUCCCCGUGAACCAGGAAUUCCUAGUAGACGCGAGUCAUAAGCUCGCAUCGAUUAAGUCCCUGCCCUUUGUACACACCGCCCGUCGCUACUACCGAUUGAACGUUUUAGUGAGGCAUUUGGACCGACGCAUCUCAGUUUAACCGCUGGUUUGUGUUGGAAAGACUUCCAAACUUGAUCAUUUAGAGGAAGUAAAAGUCGUAACA
rnacentral:rRNA from 1 species